UUCCCCCAACUGGUUUCUGAUCUUAGGAAGGGGACGGCUCCAGAAAUAGCCCUGUCCCUGGUUCUUCAAGCUAAGACAUGCCAACCUAAGGCCUCCUGCAUCCGGAAUGGGCACGGUUCCAGGGGAGGGAGGUGGUUUUCUACCUCUAUGCAGUGGGCGGUCUUGGCAGCGGGCAGGUGCAGCCAGCCUCCCUGGGAAAAAAAAAGUCUCAACUGUAGAAAUUGGAUGGCUCCCGAGAUGUGUUUUAAGUCACUGCAGUCGUUACACAAGAUCUUUCCUGAGCAUCUCAUUCGUUGUUAUCUAAAGAGCUGCCUUUCUCUCUUUACAACGUGUCUGCAUGGACUUGGGAGGAGUAAGAACGGGGAGAGAGAGUCUGGAUCAAGUCAAGACUGAAUCGUCAGGUCCUGGGAAGGUGCCACCACUUCUCAAGGAGUCCAGCUUGUUGCUUCCAAGUGAAGUCCCCUCCUUGGAGGAACAAGUGCUUUCAAGAAAGCUCACAGUGGGCCAUAGCCUGUCACCCACUUUCUGCUGCCACCCAGCCACGCAGCUCAAAGGGGUGCCAUUAUUCAGCACAGCUAUGUCAGCAGUGGGUGUGGGGCCUGAGCUGUGCCCCCUGCCCCUUCACCCCCCACACACACACACAAAGAAGUAGGUUGAAGCCCUAAGCCCUGGUGCCAGCGAAUGUGGCCUUAUUGGAAAUGUGAUCAAGUUCAGACCCAUCCAACGGUGUCAGAUGAGCCCUGGGUCCAUGAGCUGUGUCCUUGGGAGAAGAUGCAGAUGGGGCUCUGACAGCCCAGGAAGACAAGGCUGGUAGGCAGCCACCAGAAACCAGGGAGAGGCCAGCAAGGAGCUUCCUCCAAAACCCCAAGAAGGAACCAGUGGGGUGGACACCUCGAUUUCAGACUUCUGGCAUCCACAAGUGUGGGGCACUAAUUCUGUUGUUGCUGUUGUUGUUGUUUUAUGGCCACACCUGUGAGAUAUGCAAGUUCCCCAGCCAGGGAUUGAAUUUGAGCUGCAGCUGUGACCUGCAGCACAGCCAGAUCCCUUAAACCACUGAGCCGGGCUGGGGAUCAAACCUGAGCCUCGGCAGCAACCUGGAGCUACUGUAGUUGGAUCCAUUCCUUUCCUUUCCUUUGUCUUUUGAGGGCCACACCCCCGGCAUAUGGAAGUUCCCAGGCUAGAAGUUGAAUCAGAGCUGCAGCUGCCAGUCUACGCCACAGCCACAGCAACUCAGGAUCUGAAAUGUGUCUUUGACCUACACCACGGCUCACCGCAACGCUGGAUCCUUAACCCACUGAGCGGGGCCAGCAUCCUCAUGGAUACCAGUUGAGUGCAUAACCACCUAGCAAUAGGGGGAACUCCGUGCCAUUGGAUUCUUAAUCACUGCACUGCAGCAAGAACUCCUAAUUUCUGUUGCUUUAAACCACCCGGUCUGCAGUGCUUUGGGACAGCAGCCAUUGAACACAAAUGCCCUGAGUGAGACCCUGAAAGGCCCCUUUUGAUCACUUGCAUAUGCAAAAGCAGCCGCCUGGCUGGUCUGCGUCCUUCUUUGCUAAUCUUUGCAUCUUUCAUCUCAUUUGAGCUUCAGAUCUGAGGAAGACCCAGCAAGGCCCUGUUGGGAUUGAACUGGCUCCGCAGGGAACAAAACGAGA
rnacentral:lncRNA from 1 species